UACGGGGGGGGCAAGCGUUGUUCGGAAUUACUGGGCGUAAAGGGCUCGUAGGUGGCCAACUAAGUCAGACGUGAAAUCCCUCGGCUUAACCGGGGAACUGCGUCUGAUACUGGAUGGCUUGAGUUUGGGAGAGGGAUGCGGAAUUCCAGGUGUAGCGGUGAAAUUCGUAGAUAUUCGGCGGAACACCAGUGGCGAAGGCGACUCACUGGCCCGAUACUGACGCUGAGGCGCGAAAGCGUGGGGAGCAAACAGG
rnacentral:rRNA from 1 species